rnacentral:misc_RNA from 1 species
GGUAGCUCAGCAUUGGUUCAGGUC